rnacentral:misc_RNA from 1 species
CCGCGGUAAUUCCAGCUCCAAUAGCGUAUAUUAAAGUUGUUGCAGUUAAAAAGCUCGUAGUUGAAUUUCGGGGUUAGUAGGUUGGUCAUGCCUCUGGUAUGUACUGGUCUCACUGAUUCCUCCUUCCUGAUGAACCUUAAUGCCAUUUAUUUGGUGUUUUUGGGAAUUUGGACUGUUACUUUGAAAAAAUUAGAGUGUUUAAAGCAAGCUAACGCUUGAAUACAUUAGCAUGGAAUAAUGAAAUAGGACGUUCGAUCCUAUUUUGUUGGUUUCUAGGAUUGACGUAAUGAUUAAUAGGGAUAGUUGGGGGCAUUAGUAUUCAAUUGUCAGAGGUGAAAUUCUUGGAUUUAUUGAAGACUAACUACUGCGAAAGCAUUUGCCAAGGAUGUUUUCAUUAAUCAAGAACGAAAGUUAGGGGAUCGAAGACGAUCAGAUACCGUCGUAGUCUUAACCAUAAACUAUGCCGACUAGGGAUCGGAUGAUGUUAAUUUUUUAAUGACUCAUUCGGCGCCUUACG